CCCCGCUCUCCACCCUCGUGUUCUUUCUCCCUCCCGCUCUCUUUCUCUCUUCUUCUCUCUCCUUUUCUCCUUUCUUCCAUUUUCAUCGGCCACUACCUCCAUCAUCGGUGGUCACCUUCACGAUAGGUGAUAUUGAGUUUCAUCGGAAGACAAGUGGCGGUCAGUGAAUCUCCUGUGACCAGAUCUAUGUUGGAUUCCAACGAAGAGAGAAAAAAUUGUGAAGAGAAAGAAAAUGGAUUUCUAAACUUUAAAUUUUCAUUUAUUGCAAUCCGGAUAUCCAAUCGAAGUGAUUCUAGUGGAUAUGGACUCUUAUUGAAGAGAUAUUUCAGAUGAGGCCAAUUUCACCAGAUUUGGUUCUUAUUUCUGGCGCAGUGAGGAGUACGGCCAUCUCGAACCCUAUGCACU
rnacentral:lncRNA from 1 species